rnacentral:rRNA from 2 species
UGAUGUGAAAGCCUUCGGCUCAACCGAAGAAGUGCAUCGGAAACUGGGAAACUUGAGUGCAGAAGAGGACAGUGGAACUCCAUGUGUAGCGGUGAAAUGCGUAGAUAUAUGGAAGAACACCAGUGGCGAAGGCGGCUGUCUGGUCUGUAACUGACGCUGAGGCUCGAAAGUAUGGGUAGCAAACAGGAUUAGAUACCCUGGUAGUCCAUACCGUAAACGAUGAAUGCUAAGUGUUGGAGGGUUUCCGCCCUUCAGUGCUGCAGCUAACGCAUUAAGCAUUCCGCCUGGGGAGUACGGCCGCAAGGCUGAAACUCAAAGGAAUUGACGGGGGCCCGCACAAGCGGUGGAGCAUGUGGUUUAAUUCGAAGCUACGCGAAGAACCUUACCAGGUCUUGACAUACUAUGCAAAUCUAAGAGAUUAGACGUUCCCUUCGGGGACAUGGAUACAGGUGGUGCAUGGUUGUCGUCAGCUCGUGUCGUGAGAUGUUGGGUUAAGUCCCGCAACGAGCGCAACCCUUAUUAUCAGUUGCCAGCAUUAAGUUGGGCACUCUGGUGAGACUGCCGGUGACAAACCGGAGGAAGGUGGGGAUGACGUCAAAUCAUCAUGCCCCUUAUGACCUGGGCUACACACGUGCUACAAUGGAUGGUACAACGAGUUGCGAACUCGCGAGAGUAAGCUAAUCUCUUAAAGCCAUUCUCAGUUCGGAUUGUAGGCUGCAACUCGCCUACAUGAAGUCGGAAUCGCU